rnacentral:rRNA from 1 species
GUGAACGCUGGCGGUAGGCCUAACACAUGCAAGUCGAACGGCAGCACAGUAAGAGCUUGCUCUUACGGGUGGCGAGUGGCGGACGGGUGAGGAAUGCAUCGGAAUCUACUUUUUCGUGGGGGAUAACGUAGGGAAACUUACGCUAAUACCGCAUACGACCUACGGGUGAAAGCAGGGGAUCUUCGGACCUUGCGCGAUUGAAUGAGCCGAUGUCGGAUUAGCUAGUUGGCGGGGUAAAGGCCCACCAAGGCGACGAUCCGUAGCUGGUCUGAGAGGAUGAUCAGCCACACUGGAACUGAGACACGGUCCAGACUCCUACGGGAGGCAGCAGUGGGGAAUAUUGGACAAUGGGCGCAAGCCUGAUCCAGCCAUACCGCGUGGGUGAAGAAGGCCUUCGGGUUGUAAAGCCCUUUUGUUGGGAAAGAAAAGCGGCAGGUUAAUACCCCGCUGUUCUGACGGUACCCAAAGAAUAAGCACCGGCUAACUUCGUG